rnacentral:rRNA from 1 species
UUGAGYUUGAUCMUGGCUCAGAUUGAACGCUGGCGGCAGGCCUAACACAUGCAAGUCGAGCGGAAACGAUGGAAGCUUGCUUCCAGGCGUCGAGCGGCGGACGGGUGAGUAAUGCAUAGGAAUCUGCCCGAUAGUGGGGGAUAACGUGGGGAAACCCACGCUAAUACCGCAUACGUCCUACGGGAGAAAGCAGGGGAUCUUCGGACCUUGCGCUAUCGGAUGAGCCUAUGUCGGAUUAGCUAGUUGGUGAGGUAAUGGCUCACCAAGGCGACGAUCCGUAGCUGGUCUGAGAGGAUGAUCAGCCACACUGGGACUGAGACACGGCCCAGACUCCUACGGGAGGCAGCAGUGGGGAAUAUUGGACAAUGGGGGAAACCCUGAUCCAGCCAUGCCGCGUGUGUGAAGAAGGCCUUCGGGUUGUAAAGCACUUUCAGCGAGGAAGAAGGCCUGAGGGUUAAUACCCUUCAGGAAGGACAUCAC